rnacentral:ncRNA from 2 species
GAUGGUAUGCAGGGGAACCCGUUUGGGUUGAGAAAGGCUUCGGACCUGACCCUUGGAACCUGUUGGUUAACACCAUCGUAGGGAGGCAUCAUAUGACCGACA